rnacentral:rRNA from 1 species
CACGGGGGGAGCAAGCGUUGUUCGGAAUCACUGGGCGUAAAGCGCGCGUAGGCGGCGCGGUAUGUCGUGCGUGAAAUCUCCCGGCUUAACUGGGAGGGGCCGUGCGAAACUGCCGGGCUUGAGGUCGGAAGGGGAAAGUGGAAUUCCGGGUGUAGUGGUGGAAUACGUAGAUAUCCGGAGGAACACCAGCGGCGAAGGCGGCUUUCUGGUCCGAUACUGACGCUGAGGUGCGAAAGCGUGGGGAGCGAUCCGG